CCUACGGGAGGCAGCAGUAGGGAAUUUUCAUCAAUGGGCGCAAGCCUGAACGAGCAAUGCCGCGUGAACGAGGAAGGUCUUCGGAUCGUAAAGUUCUGUUGAAGGGGAAAAAGAGCGGAGAGAGGAAAUGGUCUCCGAUUGAUAUUACCCUUCGAGGAAGUCACGGCUAACUACGUGCCAGCAGCCGCGGUAAUACGUAGGUGGCGAGCGUUAUCCGGAAUGAUUGGGCGUAAAGGGUGCGUAGGCGGCCUGCUAAGUCUGGAGUGAAAGGUACCGGCUCAACCGGUACAGGCUCUGGAAACUGGCGGGCUAGAGAGCAGGAGAGGGCGGUAGAACUCCAUGUGUAGCGGUAAAAUGCGUAGAUAUAUGGAAGAACACCAGUGGCGAAGGCGGCCGCCUGGCCUGUUACUGACGCUGAGGCACGAAAGCGUGGGGAGCAAAUAGGAUUAGAUACCCGGGUAGUC
rnacentral:rRNA from 1 species